AGUUUACUGGGCUCCUGACCCCGUUAAGCCAUUUUAAUAUACGAUGUUUAUUCUCAGGGCACAGAAGAAAAAGAAAAUUAUGCAGGCAAAUGCGAUUCUGGGACAUGACACUUAACGGGAUGGAAUGUCGUGGUACCAUUAAGAGCAUAACUGAACCUGAUACAGGGGGCACCUGCUAGGUGAAGGUCAGGUGGAUGGGGUCUAUGCGUGAGCUCAGGGCACUGGAGCUUGCGUCAUGCAUGAAUCACGCAGGUCUCCUGGUGCUGGAUUCAAUGAGCUGGAGCAGCAGGACAGAGUGCCCCACAGUACUCCGGGGGUUUAUCCCGGGUGUCGGACGGACAACAGGCCUGGAGACCACGGUGACGCACCAAGCGUGACAGGUUGGCGUGGCCUUCACACACAGCGGGAUGUUUCGGGGCCCGGCGGUUCAAAGGGGGCCCACCGCUGAUCUCCAGCUCCAGCCCAAAGGAGUGUCGUGACUCUCUCCAGUGACACUUGCACCUGGCUUCCCCACUGAGGUCACUGUGAGGUUCCCUGCAUGUGUUACGUCACUAAUGAAGCGCCUGCUUAAUGGGUCCUGGGUCUCCUGCCACAUUCGUCUCUGUUUGGGAGGGGUCG